rnacentral:rRNA from 1 species
GAUGAACGCUAGCGGCAUGCUUAACACAUGCAAGUCGGACGGGAAGUGGUGUUUCGAGUGGCGGACGGGUGAGUAACGCGUAAGAACCUGCCCGUAGGAGGGGAACAACAACUGGAAACGGUUGCUAAUACGCCGUAGGCAGAGGAGCAAACGGAGGAAUCCGCCCGAGGGGGGGCUCGCGUCUGAUUAGCUAGUUGGUGAUACAAUAGCUUACCAAGGCGAUGAUCAGUAGACGGUCCGAGAGGAUGAUCAGCCACACUGGGACUGAGAGCCGCAGUAGGCUAUUAUGGGAGGCAGCAGUGAGGAAUUUUCCGCAAUGGGCGAAAUGUUGACGAAGCAAUGCCGCGUGGAGGUAGAAGGACCACGGGUCAUGAACUGCUUGUCUCAGCGAAGAAGCAAUGACGGUAUCUGAGGAAUAAGCACCGGCUAACUCUGUG